AUGAUACUAGCGGGAGAGAUCUGGGAAAUCUAGGCGCCGAAGGAGAAAUUCCUUAAAAAUCGCUUUUUUUAAGGAGCAAACUCUCAGGCAAAAGUACUGCUAGUAGACG
rnacentral:ncRNA from 15 species